rfam:Bacteroides fragilis NCTC 9343, complete genome
GCAGUUGGCCGGUCUGUCGCGUGUACUUCGGUGCAGGAGGAAAGUCCGGGCAACACAGAGCAUCCUACUUCCUAACAGAAAGCUAUCCGUGAGGGUAGAGUAACGUAGAAGAAAAGAACCGCCCCUCCCUCCGGGGAGAGGUAAGGGUGAGAAGGUGGAGUAAGAGCCCACCAGCCGUAUGGUGACAUAUCGGGCUGUACGUCUUAGGAGUUGUAAGGUCAUGUAAACCGGCGCUAUGAGAGCUGCUCGCUCCAUGUCGGAGGGUAGACCGCUAAAGUGGUGUGGUGACACCCCACUCAGAUAAAUGACAGGCACCUUGAUUUAUUCAGGGUACAGAACUCGGCUUAUAGGCUGACUGCUUUU